rnacentral:RNase_P_RNA from 2 species
AAAGCAGACCGAACGGUCGCGGGAUUAUUUUGUCUUUGCUGUUUGCAGGGACAAAAAAUCCGGAGGAAAGUCCGAACACCGCAGGGCAGGAUGCUCCGUAACGCGGAGUCGCAGUGAUGCGAAGGAAAGUGCAACAGAAAAUAUACCGCCUGUUUUCGGUGAUUACUGAAAACAGGUAAGGGUGAAAUGGUGCGGUAAGAGCGCACCAGUUCUCCGGGUGACCGGGGAAGCUUUGUAAACCCCAUCCGGUGCAAGACCAAAUAGGGGAUCGUCCGAGGGCUGCCCGCCUGAGAUCCCGGGUAGGUUGCAAGAGGCGUCGGGCAACCGGCGUCCAUAGAGGAAUGACCGUUGCCCGGCAUGGAGUAAUCCGUGCCGGGAACAGAAUUCGGCUUACAGGCUGCUUUGACC